rnacentral:rRNA from 1 species
GAUGAACGCUGACAGAAUGCUUAACACAUGCAAGUCUUUGGCGAAGCUGUGCUUGCACAGCCUAGCCAAGGCGGACGGGUGAGUAACGCGUAAGGAACUUGCCCUGCAGUCAGGGAUAACAGACGGAAACGACUGAUAAGACCUGGUAAAGUCAGGCGGACUCAUGUCCAGCCUGAUGAAAAGUGAUGCUGCAGGAGAGCCUUGCGUCCUAUUAGCUUGUUGGUGGGGUAACGGCCCACCAAGGCGAUGAUAGGUAGCCGGCCUGAGAGGGUGGACGGCCACAAGGGGACUGAGAUACGGCCCUUACUCCUACGGGAGGCAGCAGUGGGGAAUAUUGGACGAUGGGGGCAACCCUGAUCCAGCAAUUCUGUGUGCACGAUGAAGGUUUUCGGAUUGUAAAGUGCUUUCAGCAGGGAAGAAAAAAAUGACGGUACCUGCAGAAGAAGCGACGGCUAAAUACGUG